CGUACGUACGUAGUUGACUCCGUGGCUACGAGGACGACGCUGGCGGCGUGCUUAACACAUGCAAGUCGAACGGUGACGAGGAGCUUGCUCCUCCGAUCAGUGGCGAACGGGUGAGUAACACGUGAGCAACCUGCCCCAGACUCUGGGAUAACAGUUGGAAACGACUGCUAAUACCGGAUGACGUCGGAAGCUCGCAUGGGCUACUGACGAAAGGGUUACUGGAUCGGGAGAGCCUCGCGGCCUAUCAGCUUGUUGGUGAGGUAACGGCUCACCAAGGCAUCGACGGGUAGCUGGUCUGAGAGGAUGAUCAGCCACACUGGGACUGAGACACGGCCCAGACUCCUACGGGAGGCAGCAGUGGGGAAUCUUGCGCAAUGGGCGAAAGCCUGACGCAGCAACGCCGCGUGCGGGAAGAAGGCCUUCGGGUUGUAAACCGCUUUCAGAAGGAACGAAAAUGACGGUACUUUCAGAAGAAGGUGCGGCCAACUACGUG
rnacentral:rRNA from 1 species